rnacentral:lncRNA from 1 species
AUGCCGGGGUCCUGCCUUGGACAAGCAGCAAGGGUGCUCCUCUGUGAGGUUGGGCGAGUCACUCGGCCUCUCUUGAGUUUUCCGUUCGUUGUCAGGAAGAGACAAAAAUCUCACUUUAGAGAGUUAGAUACUCUACGGUGUGACCACUUCUCUUGCAUUCCGUCUAGGCCUCAGGAAAAAAAAAAAAAAAAUUCAGCCGCCCCCAAAUGUUUACAUUUAAAAUCAAAGUCUGAUGGUGCAGUCCCUGAGCGGGGCCUCAGCUACAGCUCGCUGCCCCUUGCCUCUGCUAAGGCCCCAGGGGCAUCCAGAUACGCUCAAGAGCAAGCGCAAGUCGCCUGGAUGCCAACCUGCACGUGUCCCUGCCAACCUCCACUGCUGCUUCCUGGGUGUUCACUUACUCCCCAUCCUCCCCAGUCCUCAGUCCCUGCUCUUCCCAAAGAAUGUAGCCUCAUGCAGGGCGCUUCCCAGGACUUCCGAGGCUGCCACCCAUUGCAGUGUGCCCCAACACUCUGUAGGCCUCUGGGCCUCUCCUGCCGCCUGCCCCCACUGCGCACUGCCAGGACUUACCUUUUAGAAUUAGGGUCGAUGUUUCUCUUACUGUCCUGCACCGACAGUUCUCAUGGAACAUGUACAGACUCCUUAGCAAAGGCUCUACCACACCCAGGUGCCAUGACCCUCUUCUCUCUUGCUAGCUCCAUCUCCUGCAACAGCCUUGCUCGUCAAUACUGGAAACCUUGCAGCCUGUUCUACUGUUCCACAUGUUUCUGCCUUCGUACAUGCUCUUCUUGCUCCUUUUCCAACCCUGUUGCCAAAGAAAACCCGAAAAAAAAAAAAAAAAAAAGAAAAGAAAAAAAAGAAAGCCUGAGCAUUUGCACCCUCCACGAAGACUCGAGGGGAUCUCGGAGGAGGGUUCAUCUUCGCUUCCUCUCAACUCUGGUUUGUCUAAACACAUCUCUGACGUUGCCUAAUCAGUGUUAUUGUUUGCUCUGCUUUGUUUUUCAUUUGGAUCUUUCCUACUAA